rnacentral:rRNA from 1 species
UACGAAGGGGGCUAGCGUUGCUCGGAAUCACUGGGCGUAACGCGCACGUAGGCGGCUUUUUAAGUCAGGGGUGAAAUCCUGGAGCUCAACUCCAGAACUGCCUUUGAUACUGGGAAGCUUGAGUCCGGGAGAGGUGAGUGGAACUCCGAGUGUAGAGGUGAAAUUCGUAGAUAUUCGGAAGAACACCAGUGGCGAAGGCGGCUCACUGGCCCGGUACUGACGCUGAGGUGCGAAAGCGUGGGGAGCAAACAGG